ensembl:lncRNA
CAGAUAUGUGAUCAGCUUGGCGUGAACACAUAGUCUCUUACAAUUUUUUACCUUUUUUUCCCCCCAAACAUUUAGACUAAGCCCAUGAUGUCAUCUCUGGAAGAGCAUUAAGGUUCUUCCUCGAGAUGGGUGGCGGUGCAGAGCCAAAACAGGCUGUGUUGGUUUUGAGAUUUUGUCAUCUUUAUCCAUACUGGAAAGCAUAAGGUGUCUCCCAAGACUCCUUCUUCACAUUUCACGUGCGCAUUUUGAAACCAUUACCAGGAAUGAACAUUUGUACUUUAACAGCCACAGAACGUGUGCUGCCCCACUCUUGAGAGACUGCCUGGUACUGUGUGGAGGGAGUGCUCUAUGUGGUCAAAACCACUUCAAACUGAACUACUGCAGGUUCUUUGUGCUAAAUCUGAUGUUAAAGUGAUAGAUUUGGAAGAGGAAGAUUGCCUAAUGAGCAGGUAGGCAGCAAUAUAUCAAAAAACCCCUAACCUGGACUGUUAACAAUCUAUGGAUUUUCUUUUUCUUUUCAGUUUGCUUUUUAAGGGUAGAAAAGUGUACUUGUUCUGAACAUGAA